rnacentral:lncRNA from 1 species
UAAUCGAGUCUGUGCGACGGUGUGCAUGAUUGGUUGUGCUUUAGUAAUUAGUGGUAAUGGAACAACAUGUUGAGUGGAUUUACCAAUCCCUAGAGUGUUUCCAAAUGGUUGCGAAUAAUUGGGAGGCAGACCAAAUUCUGGCCAUAUGAAAUUAACUCCUCUGGAAAGUUGAGGGUCCACAACUCCAGUAGUAAUCUCAGAAGUUAUUGUUAGUUGUGGAGGAGCUUCCUUGGUUGUCAAAGUCUG